GCUUACGGCCAUACCACCUUGAAAACGCCCGAACCGAACUCGUCUGAUCUCGGAAGCUAAGCAGGGUCGGGCCUGGUUAGUACUUGGAUGGGAGACCGCCUGGGAAUACCAGGUGCUGUAAGCU